rnacentral:lncRNA from 1 species
GUACGGCAUACCCCUCUAUGUUGAAGAAAUGUUCAUAUGUCAAAUGGUGCCCUCGGGUACGGCAUACCCCUUCAUGUCAAAUGGUGCCUCCGGGUACGGCAUGUAUGAAAAGUUAUAAAGUUAAUGUUUUGAAAUGUAUAGCUUGAUCACGAAUGCACCUAUGACACCUAUUGAGUUUUUCAACUCACGGGUUUAAUCCCAUCUCUACAGAUUGAAGGAAUUCUACCUCGGGCAUGGAUGGAGGAGAAGAUGGAGAGUGAUGCAACGAGCCCAUGGAAAUCCGGUGAAUAAGUGAUUUGGAUUUAUUUUUAUGAAAUGUUUUCCAAUGUUAUUUCUUUAAAGUUUUGAAUAACGCAGAAUGCGAGAAC